CAGUAGCCGCGGUAAUACGUAGGGUGCAAGCGUUAAUCGGAAUUACUGGGCGUAAAGCGUGCGCAGGCGGUUAUAUAAGACAGAUGUGAAAUCCCCGGGCUCAACCUGGGAACUGCAUUUGUGACUGUAUAGCUAGAGCACGGCAGAGGGGGAUGGAAUUCCGCGUGUAGCUGUGAAAUGCGUAGAUAUGCGGAGGAACACCGAUGGCGAAGGCAAUCCCCUGGGCCUGUACUGACGCUCAUGCACGAAAGCGUGGGGAGCAAACAGGAUUAGAUACCCCGGUAGUCCCUGUCUCUUAUAC
rnacentral:rRNA from 1 species